GAUGAACGCUGGCGGCGUGCCUAAUACAUGCAAGUCGAGCGAACAGACGAGGAGCUUGCUCCUCUGACGUUAGCGGUGGACGGGUGAGUAACACGUGGAUAACCUACCUAUAAGACUGGGAUAACUUCGGGAAACCGGAGCUAAUACCGGAUAAUAUAUUGAACCGCAUGGUUCAAUAGUGAAAGACGGUUUUGCUGUCACUUAUAGAUGGAUCCGCGCCGCAUUAGCUAGUUGGUAAGGUAACGGCUUACCAAGGCGACGAUGCGUAGCCGACCUGAGAGGGUGAUAGGCCACACUGGAACUGAGCCACGGUCCAGACUCCUACGGGAGGCAGCAGUAGGGAAUCUUCCGCAAUGGGCGAAAGCCUGACGGAGCAACGCCGCGUGAGUGAUGAAGGUCUUCGGAUCGUAAAACUCUGUUAUUAGGGAAGAACAAAUGUGUAAGUAACUAUGCACGUCUUGACGGUACCUAAUCAGAAAGCCACGGCUAACUACGUG
rnacentral:rRNA from 1 species